rnacentral:rRNA from 1 species
GACGAACGCUGGCGGCGUGCUUAACACAUGCAAGUCGAACGGAAAGGCCCUGCUUGCAGGGUACUCGAGUGGCGAACGGGUGAGUAACACGUGGGUGAUCUGCCCUGCACUUCGGGAUAAGCCUGGGAAACUGGGUCUAAUACCGGAUAGGAGCCAUUUUUAGUGUGAUGGUUGGAAAGUUUUUUCGGUGUAGGAUGAGCUCGCGGCCUAUCAGCUUGUUGGUAGGGUAAUGGCCUACCAAGGCGGCGACGGGUAGCCGGCCUGAGAGGGUGGACGGCCACAUUGGGACUGAGAUACGGCCCAGACUCCUACGGGAGGCAGCAGUGGGGAAUAUUGCACAAUGGGCGCAAGCCUGAUGCAGCGACGCCGCGUGGGGGAUGACGGCCUUCGGGUUGUAAACUCCUUUCGCUAGGGACGAAGCUUUUGUGACGGUACCUAGAUAAGAAGCACCGGCUAACUACGUG